GGUUCGCCGCCCGCGACUCUGCGAGAAGUCCAUUGAACCUUAUCAUUUAGAGGAAGGAGAAGUCGUAACAAGGUUUCCGUAGGUGAACCUGCGGAAGGAUCAUUGUCGAGACCAAAAAAUGGGGAGAUUUAGAGAACUCAUGAACCAAGUGGUGGCAGCCAAUGUCACAAAACAUACAUCCAACUAUUGCUUCAACUCCUUGGGAGUCGUGGUAAAGGUUGGAUGAAUAACCCAAGCUAGCGCAUUUUCGCGCCAAGGGAAUGUGCAAAACACGAGCCCCAUAAAGUUUGGUGGCAUGUAUAUUAUAUGACUCUCGGCAACGGAUAUCUCGGCUCUCGCAUCGAUGAAGAGCGCAGCGAAAUGCGAUACGUGGUGCGAAUUGCAGAAUCCCGUGAACCAUCAAGUCUUUGAACGCAAGUUGCGCCCGAGGCCAAUCGGCUAAGGGCACGUCUGCCUGGGCGUCAAGCGUUGCGCCGCUUCGUGCCAUCACCACACACCAAUGGGUGUGAUGUUGUAGGCUCGAAUGUGAAGAGUGGUUCGCCGUGCCCAUUGGCGCGACGGACUAAAGAGCGGGUUGUUGUCCUCAUGGCCAUGAUCGACAAAGGGUGGACGAAAGCCGCGAGCACGACCAAACAUUGUCUAAUUCUGGCCUGAGGAAGCUUAUACAUCCCAGUUGAACUCAAACCCACAUGCCGCAAGCGUCGGCUUGGAAUGCGACCCCAGGAUGGGCGGGACCACCCGCCGAGUUUAAGCAUAUCAAUAAGCGGAGGAGAAGAAACUUAAGAGGAUU
rnacentral:rRNA from 1 species